UGGUGGAUUUUCGGUUUCGUCAUUUAUUUAUAUUUCAUGAUAAACAAAUUGGAAAUGGCGAAAUUUUUAGCAACAAUAAAAGCGAUAAUUACGCGAUUAGUUUUUGCUUCUCAUGGUUUUAUUGCGAUUUGGCAAGUUACAAACUUUAAAUCAAAUCCAACUUAUUGGUAUCUUUGUUGUCCAAUUUUACUCUUGUUUUUUGAGGGAAUUUUUACACUCACUAUAAAAGAAAAUCAGGAAUGGAAAUGGUUUUGUCCAUCAGUAUUUCUUUAUUUGGGAAGUGUGGUGCCGGCAAUUUGGCUUUUGGAAUUGGAUAAAGUUGAAAAAAGAAUUCAUAUGCGAGGAUCAAAUAUUAAUAUUUCUGAGAGUUUAGAUUUUACGAAUUUAGCUGCCUCUGAUUUAAAACACCUGGAAAAGGCAUUAGGCGUGAACAUAAAAUUGCCAACAAUUCAAAUAUCAACAGAGACUUGGGUGACUUUGAUCGAACAAUUUUUAAUGUUAAUUUUAAUAAUUGGCCGAUGGAUGCUGCCAAAGGGUGAUUUAACAAGAGAUCAAUUGAGUCAACUUCUUUUGGUGUACAUUGGCACUGCUGCCGAUAUUAUUGAAUUUUUUGACUCGUUUAAAGAAGAUAAAAUAGCAAGAGAGCCAGUUUUAGUUUAUUUAACAUUGGGCAUUUGGUCAUGGUCAUUGAUGCAAUUUACUGUUGUUUUAACAGCAACAAAAUCGAGAAAAUCAAGACUCUCAUCUGGAAGUGCCAUUAAGAAAAAAGUGCCAACUGAAACAAGUUGCUGUAGCAUUGAUGUUUGGGGAAUUGCAAUAAAUAUGUUGCUACAGGAUGGACCAUUCUUGUCAUUUAGACUCAUUUUAAUUAUUCACUAUCAGAUAGUAAGUUACAUGAAUAUUUUUUUCACCUGCAAAAAUACUUUGGUUAUUUUACUCCAAUUGUAUCGAUUACACGUGGUGCAAACUGAAAAUAAAAAUCGAAGGAAACAAGAAAAAUAUGAUAAAUAUGAGAUUCCAAAUAUCAGUAUUAUUUAUCGAAAUGAUAAGAAUAAGAAUAAAAAAUAUCGAGAUGGUAAGAGAAAACGAAAAGUAAGAGAAAUUGACGUUGAGGAAAAUAUUUCUGAUAGUGAUUAUUCAGAAAAAAUUGAUAAAUACGAUUUGUCACCGAGAAAUCAUUCACGAAAACCUAGAGAGGACUCGGGAUAUUCAAAUUCAAGUUCACGUAAUUCGAGAAAAUCCGACGAUUAUAAAAGGCGAGAGAGAAAGAAAAAGAGUUCACGAAAGGAAGAAGUAAAACGUGAAUCAUUUAGUGACGAUGAUGAAAAAUCGAAAAAGAAACGUGAUAGAAAGGAUAAGAAAAAAUCUCGAGAAAAUAAAAAAGCGAAACAUGUAUCUGAGGAGGAAAGUUCUUCGGAAGAUUUUGAUGAAAGUAAAACUGAGACUGAAGAAAGCGAUUCGAAUUCUGAUGACAGGAAAAAACAAAAACAAGGGAAACGUCGUUCUAAUCGAGUUUGACACGGCACAAUUGGAAUAUUAUUCAUUUUUAUCGCAAUUUUUAUCAUCUCUCUGUCUUUGAUAUACGCUGGACUAAAUGAUGUUUUUAGGUUACGUUCAAGGUUUCAAAACUACCGCGGUGGUAUUCCCGCUCGUGUUUCCUGUCAAUCGACCAGUUGAAUGUUUUUUUUGUACUCGAAGAUAAAUAAUUUAACAACAAAUUAUAAGAAAAAUUAAUUUGAGUUUGAGAGAAAGAAAUAAUAAUGGAUUGUGAUUGGCUUAAGUGAAUUUGUAAACGUACCUCAGCA